rnacentral:lncRNA from 1 species
CUCAUUAAUAUAUAAUAAUGCUGCAACUCAAUGUUGUCUAAAACUAUCCCCAAGAUUUGAUGUUACAAGUAUACGAGACAUUAAGAGUAAUAAAUACAAAGUCUCCAAAGAAAAAUACAACAUAGUUUGGUACAAUAAAUAGUUAAAAGGGAUAAGAAAGGGAUUCCAAGGUCUGUGAACAUCGUGCAGCACUACCUCAAGUCUCCUGAAUAGUCCAUGCUAAUCACCUUUGAAUGCCACUGAGAUCAAUAUCAGCAUCUGCAUAAAAAAUGCAAAAGUAUAGUAUGAGUACAACCGACCUCAUGUACUUAGUAAGUAUAGAGCCUAACCUUGACAAUGUAGUGACAGACUAUGACAAGACAUUCACCAUAAACUUAUACAAGUAUUAAGGAGAAAGCAACGACAAAAUAGAGAAACGAGUAAAAUCAUAAAAUUAAAUAAGAGAAUGGAUAAUAGAGUUCCCAGAAAUAACAUCACGCACAACCUCAUAACACAACACCAUAGUGGAGAACAACAACCAAGAAUAAUUACAAGACAUCCUAUCUGUUGUGGCGUACAACCCGAUCCCAAUAUCAAUACAAACAAUAAUCAUUACCGUUGUAGCGCACAACUCGAUCCCAAUAUCAAUAACAAAUAUCGUUGCAGUGUGCAACCCGAUCUGAAUAUCAAUUAUAACAAAUAUCAUUGCGGGGUACAACCUGAUCUCAAUAUGAAUAACAAGUACUGUUGCAGCGUGCAACCCAAUAACAACCAAAUAUGGCAAAAUGCACAACAAAACGUUUAUAAAAAAACCUAAAGCGCAUAAUUUACCAAGGAAAUACAAGCACGAAAAAAGAGUGUCAAACAAUUCAAUGUGUAAGAAUUAGUCUCACAAUAUAUAUGUCAACAAAGACUUCAACUAGUAAACACGAGAAUAAUUUAAAAGUCACACAAUCCGACAUAACAUAGUAGAGUAAAACAAAAAAGUAAAGACAAAAAAGCAAGUAAGGUAUGAAGCACAUAAAAGCAUCUAUCUAACAACAUGUAAGAGCAUGUAAUAAGUAAAAACAUACAAUAAAUAAAGGCAAGAAAUAAGUAGAAGCAUGUGCAAAAUAAAGGCAUGUAACAAGUGAAGGCAUAUAUAUCUAGUAAAGCAUGUAUCAGCUAAGAGCACAUAAUAAGUAAUAGCAUAAAAUAAGUAAAGACAUGGUAUAAUUAAAGGCAUGAAAUAAACUUGUAUUCCAUGCAUGCUUAAACUCAUGAUAAUGCAUAUACACUUAUUACCUUACAUAUACGUCGUCCCCACAUAUAGAUCAUAUAGAAAAUAGAUCAAUCACGUCCUAAUUUUCUCAAUCAAGGUUAAUCACAAUACUUACCUUUUUCCGGAACAAAAUCAACAAUCCAACACAGUAUUCCCUUUAGAACAAGCCUCCAACCCAUCCGAAUCUAGUCAAAUAUUACUCAAAUAAGUCAAAAUAAGCUUUAGAAACUAACCUAAUAUCAAAAAGGUUCGAUCUUGAUCACAUUUGAAAAAGUUAACAAAAAGUCAAUCCGGGCUAUGGUCUAAAUUGAAAAUUAAGUCCAUUUCCCGUUUACCCAUUCUCUCCGAGUCUAAAUAUACGACUUGUAUCAAGAUUGGAUAUCAGUCGAGGUCCAAACUUUCAAAAUUAGCCUUCAUAAGUUUUUCUCCCAAUUUCUACUGUUUAAAAUACUAGAUUUAGUGAUACAAAUCUAUGGAUAUUAAUGAAAAUAAAUUAAAACUAGAUAAAAAUUACUGACCAAUAAAGUUGGGAUGGAAAUCUUUUCAAAAGUCUUCUCAAUCCGUUUCUUAUGACAUGUUCUAUCUCUCUGGCUUUUCUCUCCUAGCUCAGCCCAACAAGCUGUUGUGAACUUCUCUCUUG